UGGGGAAUAUUGGACAAUGGGCGCAAGCCUGAUCCAGCCAUGCCGCGUGAGUGAUGAAGGCCCUAGGGUUGUAAAGCUCUUUCACCGGUGAAGAUAAUGACGGUAACCGGAGAAGAAGCCCCGGCUAACUUCGUGCCAGCAGCCGCGGUAAUACGAAGGGGGCUAGCGUUGUUCGGAGUUACUGGGCGUAAAGCGCACGUAGGCGGACUUUUAAGUCAGGGGUGAAAUCCCGGGGCUCAACCCCGGAACUGCCUUUGAUACUGGUAGUCUUGAGUUCGAGAGAGGUGAGUGGAAUUCCGAGUGUAGAGGUGAAAUUCGUAGAUAUUCGGAGGAACACCAGUGGCGAAGGCGGCUCACUGGCUCGGUACUGACGCUGAGGUGCGAAAGCGUGGGGAGCAAACAGG
rnacentral:rRNA from 1 species